UCUCCCAUCAAUAAGGCCUAUCCCUUGCUCAGGGCACCAGUCCAGCAGCCAGAAGACCCAACCCCACCCACUGGAUCUGUCAGGUCAGACUUCCACUGCACACCUACAAUGCCAGGAGACGGCCCAUUCCCUGGUUUCCGGCUAGGCCCACUGUUUGGGACAGCAAACCCAGGGGCAGAACAGCCCAGGGGCCCCCUUAGGAUCUGGACAUGAGCAACUGGCACUGGGUGUGGUGUGGCGUCGCCUGCAGCCCACCAACCUAGCACAUGGAACCUGUCUCACUUUCUGGCCAAGUGACCCAAGGUACGGCCCUGACCCACAUCACAGGGUGGUCCUGAGAAUGAAAUGGCACAACAAAUGGGAACGAUGCUGCAGACCCGGGAGGACUCUGACCCUGCGGGCUUCAGGAAGCAUCUCACCAAACCACCACACAAACGGUUUUUGCUUUUGCCAAUCCCCUCCCUCACAUGCCUUGAAACAAGCACUUUCAAAGACAAAGACAUAAACAACAAAAGGGUGCAGGCUGAGGUGGGUCAUCUUCUCUGCCUGCGUCUCCAACUCUGGAUCCUGCAGUUACUGGACUCAGGCCAUGGCUGACUCCUUCAUCACAGCUAAGAUGCUGCUGGGUUUAAGGCACUGUGACUUUCUGUGCCACUAAGACCGACAAAAAGCUGCCAAGUGAACGAUGACACAAAGAAAGACACAAACUGUGGGACCCAGCCCAACUUCAGAGCUGCUAAAAUGUGAACAAAAAUGCAUCCCGGAAUGGAUGGAAACCGAUCAUUCUAGUUGGUGUGACCUGCUCCAGUGCCUACAGUACGUGUCCUGACAGCGUGGGAGGGGAUAUGAAGGCCCCCCAGUCAAACAGGAGACAGCGUUAGUCUCCAAACUUAACUUUGUUAUCUCUUUCCCUCCUGGGGCCCAAUACCCGCCAGCCAGGACCUGUUUCUCCUCCAUCUCACAUUCUUUCCAGGUUCAGGACUGAAGUCGUCUUGUUCAGCUCCUUGACUUGGCCAUGCUCACUCUACAAUGCAGCCCAUGGAUGGCGCCCCCUCUGCCCAGCACAUCCCUCUGCCUGGGCUCUUGUCUCCCCGAAUCCUGCAAACCCCAGCCCCAGCCUUUAGCGUUCAGCCGCCCUCCCCGCUUCCCUCAUCCUCCCUCGCGUCCUCGCAGUGAGAUUUCAACAUGUCAUCUCAGUUUUUUUGUUCUUUUACUUUCCUG
rnacentral:lncRNA from 1 species